UACGUAGGUGGCAAACGUUAUCCGGAUUUACUGGGCGUAAAGAGGGCGCGGGCGGUACUUUAAGUCGGUUGUGAAAUCUCCUGGCUCAAUCAGGAGGGGUCAUCCGAUACUGAAGAACUUGAGGGCAGCAGAGGGAGAUGGAAUUCUCGGUGUAGUGGUGAUAUGCGUAGAUAUCGAGAGGAACACCAGUGGCGAAGGCGGUCUCCUAGGCUGUUUCUGACGCUGAGGCCCGAAAGCGUGGGGAG
rnacentral:rRNA from 1 species